rnacentral:misc_RNA from 1 species
AACUUUUAGCAAUGGAUCUCUAGGCUCUUGCAGCGAUGAAGAACGCAGUAAAGUGCGAAAAGUGAUGCGACAUGCACGAAUCUGUGAGUCAUCAAGUGUUUGAACGCAAAUGGCACUCGGCUGAGAGGCCGAGUAUGUGUGCUUGAGGGUCUUGUGUGGAGGGUGUGGCACGCGAGUGUGGCACGGCAUGUUCUCUGACGCCGGCGGUAUAGUAUAUAGUACUUUAUAUAGUAUAUAGUACUUUAUAUAGUAUAUAGUACUUUAUAUAGUAUGUAAUACUCUACUAUGGUGGCGUCACUGGACGGAUUGCAGAUGCAGGCCCAUGUGCUAGUAGUGUUCAUGGCGAGCAUUUGGGAUAUAGUGUAUUCACUAGAAUAUAGCAAUAGCCCAGUAUCAAUCAGGACCUCAAGUCAGACAGGAUUACCCGCUGAACUUAAGCAUAUCAAUAAGCGGAGGCU